GGCUGUGGCUCAGUGGUAGAGCGCUCGCCUAGCACAUGCGAGGCUCUGGGUUCCAUCCUCAGUACCACNGUUA
rnacentral:tRNA from 1 species